rnacentral:rRNA from 1 species
CGCGUAGGCGGUGCGGUAAGUCACCUGUGAAACCUCCGGGCUCAACUCGGAGCCUGCAGGCGAAACUGCCGUGCUGGAGUGUGGGAGGGGUGCGUGGAAUUCCCGGUGUAGCAGUGAAAUGCGUAGAGAUCGGGAGGAACACCUGUGGCGAAAGCGGCGCACUGGACCACAACUGACGCUGAGGCGCGAAAGCUAGGGGAGCAAACAGGAUUAGAUACCCUGGUAGUCCUAGCCCUAAACGAUGGAUGCUUGGUGUAGCCGGCACCCAAUCCGGCUGUGCCGCAGCUAACGCGAUAAGCAUCCCGCCUGGGGAGUACGGUCGCAAGGCUGAA